rnacentral:rRNA from 1 species
AUGGUGGAUGUUGGCUCGGAAAAUGGUCUUCGGAAGGUGAUAUGUAUCGUUGGCAUGGGUGGUUUAGGCAAGACUACUCUUGCUAGGAAGGCAUAUGAAAGUAAGGAAGACACCAUUAAUAAUUUUUCUUGUUGUGCUUGGGUCACAGUCUCACAGACGUUUUACAAGAUAGAGAUCCUCAAGGACAUGAUUAGGCAGCUAUUGGGUGGUGAUUCGUUGAAGACUUUCUUGAAGGAACUUGAAGGGAAGGAGGUGCAAGUAGACAAUCUCGCUAGCUACCUGAGAGAAAAGCUAGUGGAUAUGAGGUACUUCAUUGUUCUUGAUGACCUGUGGACCAUAGAUGCUUGGAAGUGGAUCAAAGAUAUUGUUAUUCCCAGUAGAAACAAUAAAGGUAGUCGUAUAAUAGUAACAACGCGAGAUGAUGGCUUGGCUAAGCAGUGCACCUCUGAAUCGCCUGUCUAUCACCUUAAGUACUUACAAACAGGUGAUGCUACAAAUUUGCUACUAAUAAAGAGUAGGAAAUCACAUCAGGACAUGGAAAAUGAUAAGGAAAUGAAGACCAUGGUCAACAAAAUAGUGAAUAAGUGUGGUGGUCUACCGCUGGCUUUACUCACUAUAGGAGGCAUGCUUGCCACCAAAAAGGUAAGAGAGUGGGAGAGUAUCUAUAAACAAAUCCCGUUAGAGCUUGAGGUCAACUCUAACCUUGAAGCUAUGAGGAGGAUAGUUACUCUAAGCUACAACCACUUGCCAUCUCAUCUCAAGUCAUGCUUUUUGUAUCUAAGCAUCUUUCCUGAGGAUUCUGAAAUCAAAAGGAGGCGUUUGGUGGAGAGAUGGAUAGCCGAGGGGUUUGUUAGAGCAAGGGCUGGGGUGAACAUUGAGGAUGUGGGAGAUGGUUACUUUAAUGAGCUAAUCAACCGUAGCAUGAUUCAACCUUCCAGUGUGAACGUAGAAGGAAUAGUUAAGAGUUGUCGAGUCCUUGAUAUUGUGCGUGAUGUCAUGGUCUCAAUUUCCAGAGAUGAAAAUUUUGUGUAUGUGCCAGAAGAUAAUGUAACUAGUGUCGCACAAGAGACAUUUCGUCAUGUAGCAUACCAUGGUAGUAAGUUCCAAAAUAAUGGCAUGGAUUGGGGCCAUGUCCGGUCAUUAACCAUAUUUAGCGAGAGACCAUUGGAAUCUCCACUUUGUUCACCUAAGGCAAGAAUGCUCAGAGCCUUGGAUCUAGAGAAUUCACAGUUUGAAGUCACACAAAAAGACAUCAGUAACAUUGGAUUGCUAUGCCACCUUAAGUAUGUGAAUUUAUCUAAUCCUCAAGGAUGUUCAUAUAUUUAUAAAAUUCCUAGAUCCAUAGGAAAAUUACAAGGCUUGUGUACUUUGAACAUAAGAAACAGUUAUAUUACCGAAACGCCAACUAAGAUAAGUAAACUCAAGAGUCUACACAGUCUCCGUUGUACCAGAAAUAUUUCCUGCGAACGCUUUGACUUGGAAGGCCUCAGGAAUGCUUGCUGA